GACGAACGCUGGCGGCGUGCCUAACACAUGCAAGUCAACUUGACUGAAGGAGCAAUCUGACAGUAGAGUGGCGCAAGGGUGCGUAACGCGUAAGUAACUUGCCCAAGGUAAGGAAUAACGUCGAGAAAUCGGCGCUAAUACCUCAUAAUGCAGCGGAUCCGCAUGGAUAUGUUGUUAAAGGUUUACCGCCUUGGGAUAGGCUUGCGUCUGAUUAGUUAGUUGGUGUGGUAACGGCACACCAAGGCUACGAUCAGUAACUGGUCUGAGAGGAUGAUCAGUCACACUGGAACUGAGACACGGUCCAGACUCCUACGGGAGGCAGCAGUGAGGAAUAUUGGGCAAUGCUCGAAAGAGUGACCCAGCAACGCCGCGUGGAGGAUGAAGGUAUUCUAUAUCGUAAACUCCUGUGAGAGCAGACGAAAGACAGAUUAUUAAUCUGGAUGACUGUAUGCUCAGA
rnacentral:rRNA from 1 species